rnacentral:rRNA from 1 species
GAUGAACGCUGGCGGCGUGCCUAAUACAUGCAAGUCGAGCGAAUGGAUUAAGAGCUUGCUCUUAUGAAGUUAGCGGCGGACGGGUGAGUAACACGUGGGUAACCUGCCCAUAAGACUGGGAUAACUCCGGGAAACCGGGGCUAAUACCGGAUAACAUUUUGAACCGCAUGGUUCGAAAUUGAAAGGCGGCUUCGGCUGUCACUUAUGGAUGGACCCGCGUCGCAUUAGCUAGUUGGUGAGGUAACGGCUCACCAAGGCAACGAUGCGUAGCCGACCUGAGAGGGUGAUCGGCCACACUGGGACUGAGACACGGCCCAGACUCCUACGGGAGGCAGCAGUAGGGAAUCUUCCGCAAUGGACGAAAGUCUGACGGGGCAACGCCGCGUGAGUGAUGAAGGCUUUCGGGUCGUAAAACUCUGUUGUUAGGGAAGAACAAGUGCUAGUUGAAUAAGCUGGCACCUUGACGGUACCUAACCAGAAAGCCACGACUAACUACGUGCCAGCCGCCGCCGUAA